UCCAUUGCAGAUAGACUUUUAUUUCACUUCCAGACAGUGUACAUGUUAUUGAUGACUGGGCUCUGCACUACACUCAAUAGUAGGACUUCUCAGAAUAACAAUGAAACAUAAAAUAUUUUAAGUAUUUACUUCUAGAGAGAACUGACACAAAACAUGUGUAGUAGAUUAUUGUGGAACAAGAAAAACUUUUGUAGUUUUUAAAUCUUCCAAAAGUCGAUUUUCUUUUUUGUUUUUGUUUAAAUAUUUGGAUGUCCAGAGCUGAAACAAAAAAGUUUGAUGAAGGCAAUACAUAUAUAUAUGAAGACAUUCACAAAAAAGAUAUCAAUUUAUUGAGUUCUGCUCACAAUGUACAAUAUCACAUCAGUUUGAGAGGGAACAGAAUUUGAAAAAAAAAACAACAAAAAAACAACAUAAACUUUUUUUUUAAAGGUUUUGAGGGUGGGAUCACAGCUAACUCACAAAAUGCACGAGGAAGAAAAAUAUAGAUCAGUUGAUAUUUGAAUAUUAUCACUCUAGAACAAUAGCCACAAAUCUAAUGGGAUUGCACAAUUGUAUUUUUUUAAAUUAUAAUUUUACAAUAUUAUAUUUAAGUAGCCAAAUUUUGAGUUCAGCCACUUAUUCUGCCCCCCCCCCCCCCU